rnacentral:tRNA from 1 species
GGCUAGAUAGCUCAGUCGGUAGAGCAGAGGACUGAAAAUCCUUGUGUCGGUGGUUCGAUUCCACCUCUGGCCA